ACAUUAACUUCAACUUCCAAUAAUAUCUGCACAAAGUUAUUGCAUGUUUAAAUUACAGAUGUUUGUUCGGUAUAAUUUCACAAGGGCCAUGGUGCACAUAGCUCUCUUAGUGGUACAGACUUUAACCCAUUAACUGCCUAUGAUAUUUAUAUUUUGUAUCAUAUUUACUUAAUGAAUAUGAUUCAGUGAAGUGCAUUCAUGUAACAGAAAAUAAUAAAUUGCCAGAGGAAUCCAGUUUGUCUUCUCCAUAGUCACUUUUAUUAAUGAUGAUUUCUCUAUUCAGCAGAAUGAAUGUAUUUUUAACCUGGUGUUCCGAAGGAAAAAACUGGUUAUUAGAUUGGCGAAUACGGGCAGGCUGGCUGGCUGGCGGGCUGGCUGGCGGGCGGGCGGAACAAGCUUGUCCGGGCCAUAACUAUGUCGUUCAUUGUCAGAUUUUAAAAUCAUUUGGCACAUUUGUUCACCAUCAUUGGACGGUGUGUCGCACGAAAUAAUUACGUCGAUAUCUCCAAGGUCAAGGUCACACUUUGAGUUCAAAGGUCAAAAAUGGCCAUAAAUGAGCUUGUCCUUGCCAUAACUAUGUCAUUCAUUGUGAGAUUUUAAAAUCAUUUGGCACAUUUGUUCACCAUCAUGGGACGGUGUGUCGCACGAAAGAAUCACGUCAAUAUCUCCAAUGUCAAGGUCGCCACGACUAAAAAUAGAUUUUUUUAAAAAACAAACUUACAAAGGGGGUUAAUUUUGUUUGUUCAUUUCAAAAGUUCAGUUUGAGUUUUCUCCCUUUAUCAGAUUUUUUUUUCACAAUGAAAACAUGGUUUCGUGACAAUUUUGUCCCUUGUUAUGAAUGUAUUUAUGCUGUCAGUUAUUGAUGUUCCUUUAAUAGUUUCAAUAUUCCUAAUGUCGUCUUCUUUAGGUAUAACAAAGAACAUGCAUACAGUACAUAUUCUAUUAUUUCAGAAACAGUGAAUUCCAGUAUCACUUUUUUGGGUUACAAUAAAUUGGUAACACAAGAUAUUAUUGAAAAUAAUGUUGUAAUCAUAUGGGCCCUUAAUCUUGGUCAAUUUGAAACGGAAGCACUUGCUCUUAAGGAUGUUCGAUCGUUUCCACUUUACGGUAAUUGAUUCACUAUAUCGUGAAAAUUAAAAACCUUUAUAUAUUUUCACGGUUUCAAAAUAUUAGGUUGGAAUAAACGAGUGUAAAUUCUAGUUUUACUGUUUUGAUUAUGCGCCUUUAAAUUUUCGGCAUUUACAUAUUUUCGAGAUUUACUGCAUUGAAACCAAGCGUUCGAUUGCUUGACGUCACUUCGUGAUCGACAUCGAUGAAACGCUUGCUUACGCUGUAGAUGUUAUUUUCUGUGCAAAUACAAGCGUCUAUUGAUAACGAAACGAUAACUUGUCAACAAUGAGAAUCAGAUACUUGGCUUAAUAAUUUUCAUUUAAAAUGUCUAAUUUGGAUAUAAUUCGGAAUACAAAACGAAACUUAAAAGGUAUUGAAAACAACAACGUUCAAAAGAACAAUGUGGAUUUCAAUAGAAAGACUAUUUCCACCGACAAUCAGGAUUUCCGGUAUGACCACUGUUAUUUUGACGAUUUUUCUAUCGGUUCGUCGGUAAGCGUGACCACAUGUGACAACAGCGAUGCUAGUUGGAUAUAAAAUUGGUAGACGUGUCGUUGAACUCGACACAUUGACCGAAUCGCUUUUAGCAUGCAGUGCUUGUCAAGUGCCCAUGAAUUUACUUAACACUGUAGAAAGCAGGGAUUUCGGACAGGCAUGUGUUUUGGACAUACAGUUUAGCAAUUGUGGUGCAGUAAAUAAUGUAGCUACUGGACGGAAACAUGGCAGAGUUUAUGACAUGAUCACAAAGCUUGCAUUUGGGUAAAUCAAAAACUGGGUGUUUCACCUGGGACUUUCACAUCGAAACUGGCCCUUCUCCAUGACCUUCAGCACAAAAAAAGAAAGGCUAUAACUGUUACUCGUGCAGCAAAACAGUGACACAUAAGACUUAAAACUCGAACGGCAUUCAAAGGACAGUGCAAGAAGUACAAGCGGGACCAACGUACAGUUCAAACAUAGAGGACUAAGACGUUGAAGUUACAACUAUACCCCCACCUAUACCCAAGCCUGGUCCAGCAGGGCUAGACACUACUGGGAAGGAAUUUGUUUUCUUUGAUUUGGAAACAAGAGGGUUAGAGCACACUUCUCACAUAAUUCAGAUAGCUGCAGUGCAUUCAACUGGUCAGAAGAUUUCCUUGCAAGCGUCAGAAGAAACUGGAGUGACAGUUGUUAGCGACUCUAUGCUUGUCAAGAGACAAACAGUAACAGCUGUCCCCAUCAAAUCUGCAUUGAAAAGUUUUAUAACAUUCUUACAGAAAUGUUCACCAAUUAUUUUAGUUGGGCAUAAUAUAGAGUCUUUUGAUUGUAUUAAAAGUGUUGCCCCGUGCUAUCCAUACUUGUUGAAAAAUGUUUGAGUUUCAGCAAAAUAUUUGUGGCUUUUUAGAUACUUAAAAAUGUUAAAGGAAAUAUUACCAAAUAUGAAAUCAUAUUAGCGGGAACAUUUAGUUAAAGAAGUCAUUGGUGAAUUAUACAUGGCACAUGGCGCUAUACAGGAUAUUUUAGCUUUACAAAAGUUAGUGAACUCUGUUCCUCUUGACCAAAAAUUGUUAACAAAUAUUCAUUCAGCUUUUACCGAGCAGUGUUAACAUACAAUGUGUAACUAAAUGUUGCUUCCAACAUCAAAUCUUUACAAACCAUAAUUGAUACAAAAGUUAUAAGUCAAGGUGUUGCAAGGAAAGUUGCAGGAAGUGGAUUUCAACUUAAACAUUUGAGUCCUGUAUCAAAAAGAAACGGACUGAGUGGUUUGAGGAGCCCCCUUUCAGAGGUUACAAACGGACAAAUCAGAGUAACAAAAUCAGAGAAAAUAAUAUGUACAAUAGCGAGUUAUUUGUUGCCUGACAUCUAACCAAUAUAUAUAUCUUGUAUAUAGAUAAGCUAUGAAAUCUAAUAGCUGUUACAUCAUUGUUUUUCCUUCUCGAUGACGAACGUAGUUGUGAUUCUUAUGUCAGUUGUAUUUCUCAUGUUUCACCUAAGUUGUAAGAUAUUUUUGGCAGUGCAUUAAACCACAGAUGGUGUGUGAAACAUAAUUGCCCAGCUUAUUGUAUUCUUUGUUGUUUUAAGCUUCACUGGCCAAAGGCCAGCGGGGCUUAUGUUAUGAUUCUGUGUCCGUCGUGCGUGCGUGCCUGAACGUUUCCUUUAAACAUCUUCUUCUCCUAAACUACUGGUCCAAUUGUGAUGAAAUUUCUCAGGAAUGUUCCUCUUUCAACGUUGUUCAAAUUAUGCCCCUGGGGUCAAAUUUGACCCUGCCCCGGGGUCACAAAAUUGAACAUAUGCUUAUAUAGGGUCUAUUUUGUGAAAACUUCACAUAUUUUUUCGUCCAUAACCAUUGGGCCUUGGGCUUCCAAAUUUGGUAUGUAGUGGCAUCUUAUAGUCCUCUACCAAGUUUGUUCAAAUUAUGCCCCUAGGGUCAAGUUUGACCCUGCCCUGAGGGUCACAAAAUUGAACAUAUGCUUAUAUUAGGCAUUUUUUGUGAAAACUUUAAAAAUCUUCUUGUUCAUAUUAGUAUGGCAUAGGGCUACCAAAUUUGGUAUGUAAUGACAUGUAAUAGUUCUCUACCAAGUUUGUUCAAAUUAUGCCCCUUGGGUUAAAUUUGAAACUGCCCCGGGGGUCACAAAACUGAACAUAUGCUUAUAAAGUGCUUUAUUUGUGAAAAAAAAUUGUCCAUAUCUAUUGGGCCUAGGGCUACCAAAUUUGGUAUGUAGUGACAUCUUAUAAACCUCUACCAAAUUUGUUCAAAUAAUGCCUCUGGGGUCAACUUUGACCCUGCCGCGGGGGGGUCACAAAAUUUAAUAAACGCUUAUAAAGCGCCUAUUUUGUGAAAUCUUUAAAAAUCUUGUCGAAAACCAUUCUGACUAUGGCUACCAAAUUUGGUAUGCAGGAACAUCUUAUAGUCAUCUAUCAAGUUUGUUACUUUGGGUCAAAUUUGACCCUGACCCGCAGGUCACAAAAUUGAACAUUAUAUACGCUUGUAUCUUGCUUAUUUUAUGAAAACUUUAAAAAUAUUCUUGUCCUUAACUCUACAUCUAAGACUUAGGGCCACCACAUUUUGUGUGGAGUGAGAUAUAGUAGUCCUCUACAAAGUUUGCUCAAAUUAUGCCCCUGGGGUUAAAUUUGACCCAGCCCAGGUGGUCACAAAAUUGUACAUAUGCUUAAAUAGGGCCUAUAUUUAAGUAUCUGCACAUGCGGAGAAUAUUUGUUUCAGUCUUUUUCUCAGCAGUGGAGCGAUACAGGGCCAUCAUGGCCUCUUGUCUUAAAAUACACAUCACACAGUUUUAAAAAUAAUUUUAAAAUACCUAAUACAUAUGCUCAAUUUACAACCAACAACAUGGGUAACAGGUGGGUGGGGUAAUUUAAGAUGUUUAUUUGAACAUCAACAUUGUUUUUACAGUUGUUACAUCUGAAAUAUUUUCAUAACAAUAUACAUUAUAAAUAUUUCUACGUGUAUCACAUUUCAGUUGAUAAUUUGAUUGUUAUGGAGCAGUUAUUAUAUAGAUAUGUUUUAAUUACUAUUACAAUGUUAGUCAUUGUAUUUUUGAAAUUACGUCCAUAUUAAAAUGUCUAUAGCAAAAAAAAAUCCACGGUGACCUAUCAAUUUCUUUACUUCAUUUUAAUGCUUAGCUAGUUUACUUUAAUUAUUGAGAACUUCAAAUGAAUAUGAAUAUUACAUCAACAGAAAUAUGUAUCUGUGUUGCAUGUUAUCUAUUUUGAACUGUGCAAUAAAAAAUUCAAAACAAACAAAAAACUAGUCAUACUUAUUUCUCAUUAUUUUUUACGAUUUCCAUAAUUUUUGGUUUUAAAACUGUUCACUAUGAUAAUACACAUGUUACAGUUGCUAAUCUAAUGCAAUCUCAAUACUAUUAUGCCAUUUUAAAUGUAUUACACAAAAACAUUUUACCGUACCCCCAAAU